CAAAUUAGAGUUAAACUAGAACAGCUUCCAAUACAUUAGUUCCAUAUUGUUCAAUGCAGUUGUGUCAUACAUGGCUUCAAGCGCUGUGAUGUUAAUAGGUGGCGUUGGGCUCUCGCUAUGGCUUAUACGUGCGGUAGAAUACUUCGAGCUAGAUGCCCAAAGGAUAGAAUACUGUAGAUUCUGUAUCGUUUUGAUGGCGGUCGAUAUUUUUUUUCUAAUUGAGUUAUUUCAUCCUAUAGGAGAAAUUUUGUUGCUUGUUUUCAAAGUGGCGAUCAAUCGACCAGCUAUUUUGCAGCUUAUCUCGGCUCGUGCGUGCGAAAAUCUGUCCCAUUUGUUCCACCGAAAGAAGACAAUCCGGAAUCAGGUAUCCUGCGGGUCUGGAAGAGCGAAGUUCGGAACUAGAGAAAAUUCAUGGGUCUACAUUUUUUUGCUGGAGUAGAGGCGAAAAUCUCGCGGGACAAAAAGGUCGUACCACAGUCAAUAUACUGUUCCCAUUCAGUACCACUGCUAAAAGUGAACUGGUCAAAGUGACGCCGUAAAGAUCCAAAAAGCGAAGACUCACUACCACUUACCUGCUGACAGCCUGAGUGGCAAUAUUCGAGUACACGACAUCGGUGUUACAAUGCUCCUUGUUGCGAUAUAUUGCA